CAGUAGCCACGGUAAUACAGAGGGUGCAAGCGUUAAUCGGAAUUACUGGGCGUAAAGCGCGCGUAGGUGGUUCGUUAAGUUGGAUGUGAAAUCCCCGGGCUCAACCUGGGAACUGCAUCCAAAACUGGCGAGCUAGAGUAGGGCAGAGGGUGGUGGAAUUUCCUGUGUAGCGGUGAAAUGCGUAGAUAUAGGAAGGAACACCAGUGGCGAAGGCGACCACCUGGGCUCAUACUGACACUGAGGUGCGAAAGCGUGGGGAGCAAACAGGAUUAGAUACCCGUGUAGUCCCUGUCUCUUAUAC
rnacentral:rRNA from 1 species